rnacentral:rRNA from 1 species
AGGCAAACGGGCGGGGGUGCUAAUACAUGCAAGUCGAACGCGUUGGCCCAAUUGAUUGAUGGUGCUUGCACCUGAUUGAUUUUGGUCGCCAACGAGUGGCGGACGGGUGAGUAACACGUAGGUAACCUGCCCAGAAGCGGGGGACAACAUUUGGAAACAGAUGCUAAUACCGCAUAACAGCGUUGUUCGCAUGAACAACGCUUAAAAGAUGGCUUCUCGCUAUCACUUCUGGAUGGACCUGCGGUGCAUUAGCUUGUUGGUGGGGUAACGGCCUACCAAGGCGAUGAUGCAUAGCCGAGUUGAGAGACUGAUCGGCCACAAUGGGACUGAGACACGGCCCAUACUCCUACGGGAGGCAGCAGUAGGGAAUCUUCCACAAUGGGCGCAAGCCUGAUGGAGCAACACCGCGUGAGUGAAGAAGGGUUUCGGCUCGUAAAGCUCUGUUGUUAAAGAAGAACACGUAUGAGAGUAACUGUUCAUACGUUGACGGUAUUUAACCAGAAAGUCACGGCUAACUACGUGCCAGCAGCCGCGGUAAUACGUAGGUGGCAAGCGUUAUCCGGAUUUAUUGGGCGUAAAGAGAGUGCAGGCGGUUUUCUAAGUCUGAUGUGAAAGCCUUCGGCUUAACCGGAGAAGUGCAUCGGAAACUGGAUAACUUGAGUGCAGAAGAGGGUAGUGGAACUCCAUGUGUAGCGGUGGAAUGCGUAGAUAUAUGGAAGAACACCAGUGGCGAAGGCGGCUACCUGGUCUGCAACUGACGCUGAGACUCGAAAGCAUGGGUAGCGAACAGGAUUAGAUACCCUGGUAGUCCAUGCCGUAAACGAUGAGUGCUAGGUGUUGGAGGGUUUCCGCCCUUCAGUGCCGGAGCUAACGCAUUAAGCACUCCGCCUGGGGAGUACGACCGCAAGGUUGAAACUCAAAGGAAUUGACGGGGGCCCGCACAAGCGGUGGAGCAUGUGGUUUAAUUCGAAGCUACGCGAAGAACCUUACCAGGUCUUGACAUCUUGCGCCAACCCUAGAGAUAGGGCGUUUCCUUCGGGAACGCAAUGACAGGUGGUGCAUGGUCGUCGUCAGCUCGUGUCGUGAGAUGUUGGGUUAAGUCCCGCAACGAGCGCAACCCUUGUUACUAGUUGCCAGCAUUAAGUUGGGCACUCUAGUGAGACUGCCGGUGACAAACCGGAGGAAGGUGGGGACGACGUCAGAUCAUCAUGCCCCUUAUGACCUGGGCUACACACGUGCUACAAUGGACGGUACAACGAGUCGCGAACUCGCGAGGGCAAGCAAAUCUCUUAAAACCGUUCUCAGUUCGGACUGCAGGCUGCAACUCGCCUGCACGAAGUCGGAAUCGCUAGUAAUCGCGGAUCAGCAUGCCGCGGUGAAUACGUUCCCGGGCCUUGUACACACCGCCCGUCACACCAUGAGAGUUUGUAACACCCAAAGUCGGUGGGGUAACCUUUUAGGAGCCAGCCGCCUAAGGUGGCCAAAAUUG